rnacentral:rRNA from 1 species
AGAGCGAACGCUGGCGGCAGGCUUAACACAUGCAAGUCGAGCGGGCGUAGCAAUACGUCAGCGGCAGACGGGUGAGUAACGCGUGGGAACGUACCUUUUGGUUCGGAACAACACAGGGAAACUUGUGCUAAUACCGGAUAAGCCCUUACGGGGAAAGAUUUAUCGCCGAAAGAUCGGCCCGCGUCUGAUUAGCUAGUUGGUGAGGUAACGGCUCACCAAGGCGACGAUCAGUAGCUGGUCUGAGAGGAUGAUCAGCCACAUUGGGACUGAGACACGGCCCAAACUCCUACGGGAGGCAGCAGUGGGGAAUAUUGGACAAUGGGCGCAAGCCUGAUCCAGCCAUGCCGCGUGAGUGAUGAAGGCCCUAGGGUUGUAAAGCUCUUUGUGCGGGAAGAUAAUGACGGUACCGCAAGAAUAAGCCCGGCUAACUUCGUGCCAGCAGCCGC